rnacentral:rRNA from 1 species
UACGUAGGGUGCGAGCGUUGUCCGGAAUUAUUGGGCGUAAAGAGCUCGUAGGCGGCCUGUCGCGUCGGAUGUGAAAGCCCGGGGCUUAACCCCGGGUCUGCAUUCGAUACGGGCAGGCUAGAGUUCGGUAGGGGAGAUCGGAAUUCCUGGUGUAGCGGUGAAAUGCGCAGAUAUCAGGAGGAACACCGGUGGCGAAGGCGGAUCUCUGGGCCGAUACUGACGCUGAGGAGCGAAAGCGUGGGGAGCAAACAGG